rnacentral:pre_miRNA from 7 species
UUCCUGUUAGUGAAAGACCCCCGAAGGGAGACCCUCACUCAAGCCUCGGGACAGCCGCGGACCCAAGAAGACACUGAGACCG